CCCUAUGGGGUGCAGCAGGCGCACCAUCGAGUCAAACAAGUCAAACGUGCGCCGCACGCGUCCGCUACCACUCAUGGCGUGGAUUCCCGCCAGAUAGGCACGGUCGACGGGCGAAAGCGACUCAAAUUCCGGCUUGUCGCCUGCCGACAUUGUUCUUUACCCCCGGCGCGAUUUUGGUUCUGACUGGGCUACAUUUUCAUGUACUGACGCCGGACAAUCAAGGGCAAGAUGGCCGCGAUAAAGGGUUGAUUCCGCGCCGGGGCUUUCAGUAAGAUAGGCCCUGUUCGAGGGUGACACGGGUCCGAUACGCUCUUUACAUUACUACUCAAUGCAACGCUCAGCGAGCGGGGGAGCAUCCAUGUUUUAUCCGCAAUGGGAAGUGCCGAAAAUUGGCGGGAGGGC
rnacentral:rRNA from 1 species